rnacentral:rRNA from 1 species
UACGGGGGGGGCAAGCGUUGUUCGGAAUUACUGGGCGUAAAGGCUCGUAGGCGGCCAACUAAGUCAGACGUGAAAUCCCCAGGCUCAACCUGGGAACUGCGUCUGAUACUGGAUGGCUUGAAUCCGGGAGAGGGAUGCAGAAUUCCAGGUGUAGCGGUGAAAUGCGUAGAUAUCUGGAGGAAUACCGGUGGCGAAGGCGGCAUCCUGGACCGGCAUUGACGCUGAGGAGCGAAAAGCUAGGGGAGCAAACGGG